rnacentral:rRNA from 1 species
CGUGUAGGCGGUGCGGUAAGUUGGGCGUGAAAUCCCCGAGCUUAACUCGGGUGGGCCGUUCAAGACUGCCGUGCUAGGGUGCGGGAGAGGGCAGUGGAAUUUCCGGUGUAGCGGUGAAAUGCGUAGAUAUCGGGAGGAACACCUGCGGCGAAGGCGGCUGCCUGGACCGUAACCGACGCUGAGGCGCGAAAGCUAGGGGAGCAAACAGGAUUAGAUACCCUGGUAGUCCUAGCCCUAAACGAUGAGCACUGGGUGUGGCCCCUCACAGGGCCGUGCCGAAGCUAACGCAUUAAGUGCUCCGCCUGGGGAGUACGGUCGCAAGGCUGAA